AUUGAACGCUGGCGGCAUGCUUUACACAUGCAAGUCGAACGGCAGCGGGGGCUUCGGCCCGCCGGCGAGUGGCGAACGGGUGAGUAAUGCAUCGGAACGUGCCCAGUCGUGGGGGAUAACACAUCGAAAGAUGUGCUAAUACCGCAUACGUCCUGAGGGAGAAAGCGGGGGAUCUUCGGACCUCGCGCGGACGGAGCGGCCGAUGGCAGAUUAGGUAGUUGGUGGGAUAAAAGCUUACCAAGCCGACGAUCUGUAGCUGGUCUGAGAGGAUGAUCAGCCACACUGGGACUGAGACACGGCCCAGACUCCUACGGGAGGCAGCAGUGGGGAAUUUUGGACAAUGGGCGCAAGCCUGAUCCAGCCAUGCCGCGUGCAGGAUGAAGGCC
rnacentral:rRNA from 1 species